UACGUAGGGGGCAAGCGUUGUCCGGAUUUAUUGGGCGUAAAGAGCGUGUAGGCGGCCAUACAGGUCCGUUGUGAAAACUGGAGGCUCAACCUCCAGACGUCGACGGAAACCGUAUGGCUAGAGUCCGGAAGAGGAGAGUGGAAUUCCUGGUGUAGCGGUGAAAUGCGCAGAUAUCAGGAAGAACACCCGUGGCGAAGGCGGCUCUCUGGGACGGUGCUGACGCUGAGACGCGAAAGCGUGGGGAGCGAACAGG
rnacentral:rRNA from 1 species